rnacentral:rRNA from 1 species
GAUUAGUGGCGAACGGUAGAGUAACACGUGAGUAACCUGCCCUUAACUCUGGGAUAAGCCUGGGAAACUGGGUCUAAUACCGGAUAUGACUCCUCAUCGCAUGGUGGGGGGUGGAAAGCUUUUUGUGGUUUUGGAUGGACUCGCGGCCUAUCAGCUUGUUGGUGAGGUAAUGGCUUACCAAGGCGACGACGGGUAGCCGGCCUGAGAGGGUGACCGGCCACACUGGGACUGAGACACGGCCCAGACUCCUACGGGAGGCAGCAGUGGGGAAUAUUGCACAAUGGGCGCAAGCCUGAUGCAGCGACGCCGCGUGAGGGAUGACGGCCUUCGGGUUGUAAACCUCUUUCAGUAGGGAAGAAGCGAAAGUGACGGUACCUGCAGAAGAAGCGCCGGCUAACUACGUGCCAGCAGCCGCGGUAAUACGUAGGGCGCAAGCGUUAUCCGGAAUUAUUGGGCGUAAAGAGCUCGUAGGCGGUUUGUCGCGUCUGCCGUGAAAGUCCCGGGGCUCAACUCCGGAUUCUGCGGUGGGUACGGGCAGACUAGAGUGAUGUAGGGGAGACUGGAAUUCCUGGUGUAGCGGUGAAAUGCGCAGAUAUCAGGAGGAACACCGAUGGCGAAGGCAGGUCUCUGGGCAUUAACUGACGCUGAGGAGCGAAAGCAUGGGGAGCGAACAGGAUUAGAUACCCUGGUAGUCCAUGCCGUAAACGUUGGGCACUAGGUGUGGGGGACAUUCCACGUUUUCCGCGCCGUAGCUAACGCAUUAAGUGCCCCGCCUGGGGAGUACGGCCGCAAGGCUAAAACUCAAAGGAAUUGACGGGGGCCCGCACAAGCGGCGGAGCAUGCGGAUUAAUUCGAUGCAACGCGAAGAACCUUACCAAGGCUUGACAUGAACCGGAAACACCUGGAGACAGGUGCCCCGCUUGCGGUCGGUUUACAGGUGGUGCAUGGUUGUCGUCAGCUCGUGUCGUGAGAUGUUGGGUUAAGUCCCGCAACGAGCGCAACCCUCGUUCUAUGUUGCCAGCACGUGAUGGUGGGGACUCAUAGGAGACUGCCGGGGUCAACUCGGAGGAAGGUGGGGACGACGUCAAAUCAUCAUGCCCCUUAUGUCUUGGGCUUCACGCAUGCUACAAUGGCCGGUACAAAGGGUUGCGAUACUGUGAGGUGGAGCUAAUCCCAAAAAGCCGGUCUCAGUUCGGAUUGGGGUCUGCAACUCGACCCCAUGAAGUCGGAGUCGCUAGUAAUCGCAGAUCAGCAACGCUGCGGUGAAUACGUUCCCGGGCCUUGUACACACCGCCCAGCAAGUCAUCAAAGUUCGGGACACCCGAAGUCG